rnacentral:rRNA from 1 species
UACAGAGGGGGCAAGCGUUGUUCGGAAUUACUGGGCGUAAAGGGCGCGUAGGCGGCCUUCUAAGUCGAACGUGAAAUCCCUGGGCUCAACCCAGGAACUGCGUCCGAUACUGGGAGGCUUGAAUCCGGGAGAGGGAUGUGGAAUUCCAGGUGUAGCGGUGAAAUGCGUAGAUAUCUGGAGGAACACCGGUGGCGAAGGCGGCAUCCUGGACCGACACUGACACUGAGGAGCGAAAGCCAGGGGAGCAAACAGG